UUCGCCCUUAGAGUUUGAUCCUGGCUCAGGACGAACGCUGGCGGCGCGCCUAACACAUGCAAGUCGAACGAGCGAGAGAGAGCUUGCUUUCUCGAGCGAGUGGCGAACGGGUGAGUAACGCGUGAGGAACCUGCCUCAAAGAGGGGGACAACAGUUGGAAACGACUGCUAAUACCGCAUAAGCCCACGGGUCGGCAUCGACCAGAGGGAAAAGGAGCAAUCCGCUUUGAGAUGGCCUCGCGUCCGAUUAGCUAGUUGGUGAGGUAACGGCCCACCAAGGCGACGAUCGGUAGCCGGACUGAGAGGUUGAACGGCCACAUUGGGACUGAGACACGGCCCAGACUCCUACGGGAGGCAGCAGUGGGGAAUAUUGCACAAUGGGGGAAACCCUGAUGCAGCGACGCCGCGUGGAGGAAGAAGGUCUUCGGAUUGUAAACUCCUGUUGUUGAGGAAGAUAAUGACGGUACUCAACAAGGAAGUGACGGCUAACUACGUGCCAGCAGCCGCGGUAAAACGUAGGUCACAAGCGUUGUCCGGAAUUACUGGGUGUAAAGGGAGCGCAGGCGGGAAGACAAGUUGGAAGUGAAAUCUAUGGGCUCAACCCAUAAACUGCUUUCAAAACUGUUUUUCUUGAGUAGUGCAGAGGUAGGCGGAAUUCCCGGUGUAGCGGUGGAAUGCGUAGAUAUCGGGAGGAACACCAGUGGCGAAGGCGGCCUACUGGGCACCAACUGACGCUGAGGCUCGAAAGUGUGGGUAGCAAACAGGAUUAGAUACCCUGGUAGUCCACACCGUAAACGAUGAUUACUAGGUGUGGGAGGAUUGACCCCUUCAGUGCCGCAGUUAACACAAUAAGUAAUCCACCUGGGGAGUACGACCGCAAGGUUGAAACUCAAAGGAAUUGACGGGGGCCCGCACAAGCAGUGGAGUAUGUGGUUUAAUUCGACGCAACGCGAAGAACCUUACCAAGUCUUGACAUCCUGCGACGCACAUAGAAAUAUGUGUUUCCUUCGGGACGCAGAGACAGGUGGUGCAUGGUUGUCGUCAGCUCGUGUCGUGAGAUGUUGGGUUAAGUCCCGCAACGAGCGCAACCCUUACUGUCAGUUACUACGCAAGAGGACUCUGGCAGGACUGCCGUUGACAAAACGGAGGAAGGUGGGGAUGACGUCAAAUCAUCAUGCCCUUUAUGACUUGGGCUACACACGUACUACAAUGGCGUUAAACAAAGAGAAGCAAGACCGCGAGGUGGAGCAAAACUCAGAAACAACGUCCCAGUUCGGACUGCAGGCUGCAACUCGCCUGCACGAAGUCGGAAUUGCUAGUAAUCGUGGAUCAGCAUGCCACGGUGAAUACGUACCCGGGCCUUGCACACACCGCCCGUCA
rnacentral:rRNA from 1 species